UACGUAGGGUGCGAGCGUUGUCCGGAAUUAUUGGGCGUAAAGAGCUUGUAGGCGGUAUGUCGCGUCUGCUGUGAAAAUCCGGGGCUCAACCCCGGACUUGCAGUGGGUACGGGCAGACUAGAGUGUGGUAGGGGAGACUGGAAUUCCUGGUGUAGCGGUGAAAUGCGUAGAUAUCGGUAGGAACACCAUUGGCGAAGGCGGUCUCCUGGGGCAUUCUUGACGCUGAGGCGCGAAAGCUGGGGGAGCGAACGGG
rnacentral:rRNA from 1 species